GCAGCAGGCGCGCAAAUUACCCACUCCCGGCACGGGGAGGUAGUGACGAAAAAUAACGAUACGGGACUCAUCCGAGGCCCCGUAAUCGGAAUGAGUACACUCUAAACCCUUUAACGAGGAUCAAUUGGAGGGCAAGUCUGGUGCCAGCAGCCGCGGUAAUUCCAGCUCCAAUAGCGUAUAUUAAAGUUGUUGCGGUUAAAAAGCUCGUAGUCGAAUUUGUGUCUCGCGCCGCCGGUUCAUCGUUCGCGGUGUCAACUGGCGUGUCGCGAGACGUCCUGCCGGCGGGCUCGACCCUUGAGGUCGGCCCAAUUCAAUCCUGCCGCGGUGCUCUUUGUUGAGUGUCGAGGUGGGCCGGCACGUUUACUUUGAACAAAUUAGAGUGCUUAAAGCAGGCUAAAAUUUCGCCUGAAUAAUGAGUGCAUGGAAUAAUGAAACAGGACCUCGGUUCUAUUUUGUUGGUUUUCGGAACCCCGAGGUAAUGAUUAACAGGAACGGAUGGGGGCAUUCGUAUUGCGACGUUAGAGGUGAAAUUCUUGGAUCGUCGCAAGACGGACAGAAGCGAAAGCAUUUGCCAAAAACGCUUUCAUUGAUCAAGAACGAAAGUUAGAGGUUCGAAGGCGAUCAGAUACCGCCCUAGUUCUAACCAUAAACGAUGCCAGCUAGCGAUCCGCCGACGUUCCUCCGAUGACUCGGCGGGCAGCUUCCGGGAAACCAAAGCUUUUGGGUUCCGGGGGAAGUAUGGUUGCAAAGCUGAAACUUAAAGGAAUUGACGGAAGGGCACCACCAGGAGUGGAGCCUGCGGCUUAAUUUGACUCAACACGGGAAACCUCAUCAGGCCCAGACACCGGAAGGAUUGACAGAUUGAGAGCUCUUUCUUGAUUCGGUGGGUGGUGGUGCAUGGCCGU
rnacentral:rRNA from 1 species